rnacentral:rRNA from 1 species
UGGGGGAUAUUGCACAAUGGGCGAAAGCCUGAUGCAGCGACGCCGCGUGGGGGAUGAAGGCCUUCGGGUUGUAAACUUCGUUUGCUCUGAAAAAGGCACAGUUUUGGCUGUGUUGAUGGUAGUGGGGGAAGAAGCGCCGGCUAACUACGUGCCAGCAGCCGCGGUAAUACGUAGGGCGCGAGCGUUGUCCGGAUUUAUUGGGCGUAAAGAGCUCGUAGGUGGUUCGUCGCGUCUGUCGUGAAAGCCAGCAGCUUAACUGUUGGUCUGCGGUGGGUACGGGCGGGCUUGAGUGCGGUAGGGGUGACUGGAAUUCCUGGUGUAGCGGUGGAAUGCGCAGAUAUCAGGAGGAACACCGAUGGCGAAGGCAGGUCACUGGGCCGUUACUGACACUGAGGAGCGAAAGCGUGGGGAGCGAACAGG